ACGGGUGAGUAACGCGUGGGAAUCUACCGUACCCUACGGAAUAGCUCCGGGAAACUGGAAGUAAUACCGUAUACGCCCUUCGGGGGAAAGAUUUAUCGGGGUAUGAUGAGCCCGCGUUGGAUUAGCUAGUUGGUGGGGUAAAGGCCUACCAAGGCGACGAUCCAUAGCUGGUCUGAGAGGAUGAUCAGCCACAUUGGGACUGAGACACGGCCCAAACUCCUACGGGAGGCAGCAGUGGGGAAUAUUGGACAAUGGGCGCAAGCCUGAUCCAGCCAUGCCGCGUGAGUAAUGAAGGUCUUAGGAUUGUAAAGCUCUUUCACCGAUGAAGAUAAUGACGGUAGUCGGAGAAGAAGCCCCGGCAAACUUCGUGCCAGCAGCCGCGGUAAUACGAAGGGGGCUAGCGUUGUUCGGAAUUACUGGGCGUAAAGCGCACGUAGGCGGAUAAUUAAGUCAGGGGUGAAAUCCCGCAGCUCAACUGCGGAACUGCCUUUGAUACUGGUUAUCUUGAGUAUGGAAGAGGUAAGUGGAAUUGCGAGUGUAGAGGUGAAAUUCGUAGA
rnacentral:rRNA from 1 species